UACAGAGGUGGCAAGCGUUGUUCGGAAUUACUGGGCGUAAAGGGCGCGUAGGCGGCUUGGUCAGUCCCGUGUGAAAUCCCUCGGCUCAACUGAGGAACUGCACGGGAAACUGCCUGGCUUGAGUUCGGGAGAGGGAAGCGGAAUUCCGGGUGUAGCGGUGAAAUGCGUAGAUAUCCGGAGGAACACCGGUGGCGAAGGCGGCUUCCUGGACCGACACUGACGCUGAGGCGCGAAAGCCAGGGGAGCAAACGGGG
rnacentral:rRNA from 1 species